AGCAGCCGCGGUAAUUCCAGCUCCAAUAGCGUAUAUUAAAGUUGUUGCAGUUAAAAAGCUCGUAGUUGAAUUUCGGGAUUGACACAUCGGUCGUGCCUUAAGGGGUAUGGACUGGUGUAGUCAAUUUCUCACCUUCUGGAGAACCGCGAUGCCCUUAAUUGGGUGUCGCGGGGAACCAGGACCUUUACUUUGAAAAAUUAGAGUGUUUAAAGCAGGCAUUUUGCUUGAAUACAUUAGCAUGGAAUAAUAAAAUAGGACGGCAUGAUUCUAUUUUGUGGUUUCUAGGAUCACCGUAAUGAUUAAUAGGGAUAGUUGGGGGCAUUAGUAUUCAAUUGUCAGAGGUGAAAUUCUUGGAUUUAUUGAAGACUAACUACUGCGAAAGCAUUUGCCAAGGAUGUUUUCAUUAAUCAAGAACGAAAGUUAGGGGAUCGAAGACGAUCAGAUACCGUC
rnacentral:rRNA from 1 species